CCUACGGGCGGCUGCAGUAGGGAAUCUUCCACAAUGGGCGCAAGCCUGAUGGAGCAACGCCGCGUGGGUGAAGAAGGUCUUCGGAUCGUAAAACCCUGUUGUUAGAGAAGAAAGUGCGUGAGCGUAACUGUUCACGUUUCGACGGUAUCUAACGAGUAAGCCACGGCUAACUACGUGCCAGCAGCCGCGGUAAUACGUAGGUGGCAAGCGUUAUCCGGAUUUAUUGGGCGUAAAGGGAACGCAGGCGGUCAUUUAAGUCUGAUGUGAAAUCCUUGGGCUUAACCGGAGUAGUGCAUUGGAAACUGGGAGACUAGAGUGCAGAAGAGGGGAGUGGAACUCCAUGUGUAGCAGUGAAAUGCAUAGAUAUUACACAGAACACCGAUUGCGAAGGCAGCUUGCUAGGCCGGAUCUGACACUGAUGCACGAAAGCGUGGGGAUCGAACAGGAUUAGAUACCCCGGUAGUC
rnacentral:rRNA from 1 species